UACGUAGGGGGCUAGCGUUGUCCGGAAUCAUUGGGCGUAAAGAGCGUGUAGGCGGCUCGGUAAGUCCGCUGUGAAAGUCCAGGGCUCAACCCUGGAAUGCCAGUGGAAACUGUCGAGCUAGAGUCCGGAAGAGGCGAGUGGAAUCCUGGUGUAGCGGUGAAAUGCGCAGAUAUCAGGAGGAACACCAAUGGCGAAGGCAGCUCGCUGGGACGGUACUGACGCUGAGACGCGAAAGCGUGGGGAGCA
rnacentral:rRNA from 1 species